AACCAACCCAUCAAACGAAUCAAAAUUUAUUUAAACAUUUAGGGAUCAGCUAAUUUGGUUGAAACCAAAUUAUGCUUACCCUAAUUUGAGCCAGGUGGCAUAAGAAAGUGCAAAUAAAAGUGAUUUUUGUGAAAUUGAAUAGCAAAAGAGAGAUGAGCAUAGAAGAAGCAGGUCCUCCGGGGCCGAAGGUCGCGCGAUUGCUGUAUUUCGUGGGCGCUGGAUUUUUGUGCACAGUAGUGUUGAACAAAUGGAGGCAGAUUCAGAAGAAAUCAAUUCAAAACAACUCUCCCGCUGCUGCUCUCCACAAAUAAUCUCAUGUUUUCUUUGUUAUUUUGGUAAUUCUUAGUUAGACAGAUCCAUCCACAAAUUUUAUGUUAUCUGCUUUUUAUUUCACUUAAUCUUUCAAAUUUAUGCACCCAUUUGGAUUGAA